rnacentral:tRNA from 1 species
GCGCAGCGCAACGGUAGCGCGUUCGACUCCAGAUCGAAAGGUUAUCUGUUCAAAUCAGGUGUGGCUCA